UGCUCCACAUGUGUUCGUUAGAAUGGUUAAUAGAGAGCUUAUCCUGUACUCGUACACUUCCUUAGAAUUUCUUGAUAAAUAAGAUCGGCUUUUGUACCAGGGAAGUGGCAUUUAUGGUCUAAUCUCCAUGAUCUAGAAUAUCUAGCGUGAUAUUGAUUGUUGAUCCAUCUUAUUUGCAUACUCUAUCACCAUGAUAAUGAUAUUGAUUUUCCAGCUAAAGCUUUUCGCAACUGCUGUUGAUCAUUUACAGCAUUGCCCGUCCCGACGUCCGCUCUCUGAUCCUCUCAGGUGCAGUGACACACAAGGCACCAGUGCAGGGCUGCUUAAAAGCAAUCGGCAAGGCAGCAAGGACGACUACAACAACCGGAGAGUCAAUCCAUGAGGGUUUCAUGUAUAUUUGGUCCGAAUUGGAGGCUUGGCUGGUUCAGCAUGGACAUUGUCAGAAAAAAUAAUCGCUACUCUUCAAACUUAUGGAAGUUAUAAUGAUCUGAUUAUGGGGAUUCUCGGGGACUUUGACACUGAUACUACAAGAUCCUGGUGAUAAUGAAGGGCUAUGUAUACGUGACCAAUGUAAUGUCAAGUUGUGUACCAUGGGAAUGUAGGGUUCGUUAACUGGAUGGGGGAAAAGUGGGGUAGACAGGGGACUACAGUCUCAUAC